rnacentral:tRNA from 1 species
GGUUAUAGCUCAGUGGUAGAGUGCUUGCCUAGUAUGUGUGAGGCCCUGGGUCCAAUCCUCAGCACCA